AUUUUUAUUUAUUUUUGGGACAGAGAGAGACAGAGCAUGAAUGGGGGAGGGGCAGAGAGAGAGGGAGACACAGAAUCGGAAACAGGCUCCAGGCUCUGAGCCAUCAGCCCAGAGCCCGACGCGGGGCUUGAACUCACGGACCGCGAGAUCAUGACCUGGCUGAAGUCAGACGCUUAACCGACUGCACCACCCAGGCACCCCUAUUAAGGCAGCAUUUUAACAUACAUUUAGUUUAAUUGAAAAAGCACAAAGUGCUCGUGAAAACAAGAUAAAAUUCUAGAGAAAGAGUAAGCACACGCUUGCUGAAUUCAAACAGAAGGACAGAGGCGAUGGGGAGAGGGUCACCAUGGAGAAGGGGCACUCUUUCUGCCUGUUCAGUCUGCUUAAGGUCUACGGAGAGCAUUGGCUGAAAAAUGGCAAAGCUGAGGAAGCUCCAGAAAUAAAUUGGAUAUCUGAGUUCUUACAAGUUCCUACAAGUUCUUACAAGAUAAUACUCCCCUAAAAUGUGACACUUUUAGCAGAGUUCAGUCUGUGGUGUACUUAUGUGUGCUUUGACUUUUUUUCUUACUCCUUUGGUUCUGUGUCUCUUUAUUCAUUCAUUUAUUUAAAAAUGUAAAAAACUGAGAUAUAAUUGACACGUAACAUGUCAUACAAUGUGUUGUUUUGAUACAUUUAUAAGUUGCAAUAUAUCACCUCACAUAAUUAUCAUUUCUUUUUUUGUGGUGAGAAUAAUUAAAGACCUGGUCUCUUAGCCAGUUUGAAGUUUAUAAUGGAGUAUUGUUGACCAUAAUCUCUAGGCUGUGCGUUAGGUCUCCAGGACUUAUUUGCAUGUCUGUACCCUAAACAUCUUCCCCAGUUUCCUCACCCCACACACUCUGCUAGCUGUCAUUCUAGUCUCUGAUUUUAUGAGUUCUGCUUUUUUUUAGAUUCCACAGGUGAGAUCAUACAGCAUUCGUUUUUCUCUCUCUGACUUAUCUCACUUAGCAUAAUGCCCUCAGUUUCUACCUCUGUUGUCGCAAAUGUCAGGAAAUCUUGCCCCUGUCAACAGUGUCCUCCCAGCUCCAUCUGUGAUGGGCCUUCACAUUGUGUCCUGCUGUUGUUUGUGACCUUCUCCCCUGCCUCGGUUGGACAGGGUCUGUCCAGGUCAUCAAGUGUCCUUCAGAGUAACUUAAUUAAUUGUUUUAAUUAAUAACAUUCAAAAGCCUUUUCAGAGUUGCUCGGCAACAUGUUGCUCUCUCAACUGUCCCCUGAGCUGGGGAAGGGAGGUGACAAGGACAGGAAGGAGGUAGCCUGUGUUAAAGGUCCUUUCCCACCUGAUCAGCUUGUGAAGAUCAACAGUUUUUGAGGAAAGACGAAUAUGACUUAGGAAUCCUGACUUAAGUAUCUUUCUAGGAAGAGAAAAUCCAUGUUGAUAGGAAGCCUGUUCUUGUAACUACUAAGUUGAAAAAUUUGUUUUUAAGUUUUACUUUUUUUGAGAGAAACAGACUGUGUGAUUGAGGGAGGCACAGGGAGAGAGGGAGAGAGAGAAUCCCAAGCAGGCUCCACGCUGUCAGCACAGAGCUCGAGGUGGGACUCGAUCCCAUGAACCAUGAGAUCAUGACCUGAGCCGAAAUCGAGUCGGAGGCUCAACCUUCAAAGCCCCGCAGGCUCCCUUCCCUGGUGAUUUGUACAGACCACACAGAUAUUUAAUAAGCGUCAAUCAUUCUGGCCACUUUCCCACAAACUGUGUGGAGAAUAUAAAUCAGGCACGUCUGCUGGGCACCACUCUUGGUCUGGGGUGAGCUUCAGAAUGAGAUUGGUAUUGGAGGCAGAGAGGAAGGAAUGGAAAAGAGGUGCAAAUGGAAACGGUAGUGUCUCAAGUAGGCUAAUCGAAGGUGCAUACUUCGCACAUGUGCAGUCAAGUGUUAAAUUUUUAGAUUUCCCUGGACAGUGUGAACAUGAAAGAGAAUCUCUUCACGUGGUAGCGGUGAUGCUGUGAUGUCUCAUUUUGUGAGGUAAGGACCCCCUUGGGCCGACAGGCUCCUGGUUUCAGGCCGUCCUCCGCUCGCAGCAACCUCAGCUCUCAGCGCCGAGCUUUCUGUGGAUCAGAGAGAGAGAGGCAGCGUCAGACCUCUGGGUAGAGCCAAGUGAGGUUGCAUCGUUUCUCCUUCCCGAGGGCCGGGCUCCUGCCUCCAGUCACAGAAGUCACAGAUGUCACCUCUGAUCUCUUUGCUUCCGUUCACCACACACCCUGCCUUUUGUUUUACAAUGUACCUUCAUUAAGGAAGCCUUCCCAUGUGCCCGCCCCUCUAGGCAAAACUAAUGACAAUACUUUGGCGCUACCAUACGGACAUGCCGAUAGCUGGUGUGUGUGUGUGUGUGUGUGUGUGUGUGUGUGUGUGCUGCUCUCCUGUAGGCUCUUGUGGGCACACUCUAAAAUGCCACUUGCUUCCCCUAUAGCUGCUCAUGAUAAUUGGCAAAGUGUGAGGCACAACCGAUAUACAAUACCAUUAAUUAAACAAACUGCCAUCAGAAUAUGAGGAGCUGUUCAAAGCAAGUCAGAAUACUUAAGAAAAAAAAAUCACAUGAGAGAGAUCAUCUCUGUUAAUACAGAUUCCAGAAAAGGCGCUCUUCGCCUAGUUUGGGCCACCUCAGAUACCCAUGCCUCCCUUUGUAACACGUGACAUCCACCAUUUAUUUUUAAAAGCACGAGUGAAAUUUUACAGGCAAAAUUUUCAGAUGUUGUCGAAAUACUUUCUUCAGGGUUUCGCGCUUCUAUAAUAGUCACCAUGGUAAUAAUGAUCACACGUAGAGAGUUUUACUCAAUCUGAGUACACUUGAAGUUAACUUGAUGAAUGGUUUAAAAAAAAUGUUUACUAGAGUCUUUGCUCAUCUCUAAUACGCGUCACAAAAUGCUGACCCUUUCCUUGUUAGUUCAGGGCACAUUUUAGUUCGCUUGGCCCCGCGGUUGUCUUUCCCCUCCAAAUAAUCUUUCCUCAUCAUGCCUGUGUUCAGAGGCGGAAAGCGUGGCUUGCUCGUGGAUUCAGGUGGAAGAUGUAUCCCACGUCGUGUAGCUCUGCCCCUCGCCCUUGCAACCGCACUUGGCUGAGGGAUUUUGCUUUCGUAUUACAUUCUAGCCACAGCCAUGUAGAAUAAAUUUAUUGGUGGAGAAAUUUUACUUAACCUUCAGGAGAGUUAUUUAAAGUGAUCGCAGCCUUGGCUAAGUGGGCUCACUGAGAUUAGUUGAUUCGCUGUGACGCUGUUCACAAUUUUUUGUCAUAACCAUCCGUGACGUGGUUUGGCUUUGAGAGCAAUAGUUAGAGUCCAAGGUCUCUCCUGAGACGUAGGGCUAAAAGGGUCGAGCGUUAGAGGAGUCGUUUCGUGGCAUGUAUCUUUAUCUUUAGGAAAGAAGAUUUGCAUACCUGUGCCUCUCAGUCCUCCCCGGCAAAGGUUUUCCUAGACAGCAUCUCUGCUCAUCUUUUUUUUCUUUAAAGAGCAAGAUGGACGAGUCACAUAGUCUCAGUUCCUUAAAACUGAGGAAAACAGAAAGCACAAGGAAGGGGAAUAUUCUCUCAGAGGUAGAAAGAAUCCCCUUGGAGGACGAGGGUGCUGUUCCGGCUCGUUGUGCACUGGGACGCGUGUUCGAUUAUCUCCUCGGCUUUCCCCCCAAAUUCUCCUCAUCACUUAACUACCAACCAUUUAUCAGCUGGUGGUGGGACUGUAACUCUAGGUGAGUUCUAUACUCCUGCAAGCUAGGUGAAGCAUUGCAGAACUAAAUAGAUGGUCAUUUUUUUUUUUAAUGGCAUUAAUAGAAUUCUCUGACUUCCAUUAGUAGAUUUCAUGCUCAACCUUUAGCCAAUGGGUUUUCCUUAAUGUUAGCUCAAAUCCUUCCUGCUGGGAUAGAUAACACGUCUUGCUGGUCUUGCAUUAGAGGUGUGCCGGCCAGCAAAUACAUCUGUGAUUAUAUAAAUAUGAUUUAUUUGUAUUUAGGCUGACAGGUCCUUUUUUCAGCCCUCCAUUCCUACUUUCAGAGAUUCCUGUUAAUCUUCCUUAUAAAUAACAUAUUGCACUUAACACUGAGGCUUUCUUCAAGUUAUCCACAUAACACACCAGUUGUUGGGCUGUGAAUUAGAGGAGAGUCUGAGUGAUGAACUCGUUCUUAGCUUGAGUUCUCAAAGCUCCCCAGGUUUUUCCCUUAUAUGUGUCUAAAGCCAUUUCUCCUUCUCUUAUGUUAUAUUUGUACAGAUUUUUUCUUCCUAAAGGGAUUACAUCCACAUCUGUUUCUAUUAAACACCACUCUGCUUAUCUUUCCUUUUCUCCAAAUUGUCAAGGGCGCUUCUUUCUUCUUAAUUCUGUGUCCUAGCCUCAUCUCUAUGGAGAUUUAUCUAAGACCUGCACUGAGGAAAUAUCUUAUUAAAAUGUAAAUAGAUUCUCAACAUUCCAGACACAUUCAAAUCAUCCAAAUGUGGCUAUUUAUUUGUUGGGUUCAUGUUUCUAUUUCUAAGAAAAAAUGUGUUUAAAAAUCAAAGACAGCAACUUUAAUUAAACAAGGUUAUUGCAUGGUGGGAGGGGCAAGACAUUUGGAAGUUUAUGUAUAAUUGUUCUUAUGGGACAGUUGUCUAUAAAGUAGAAUCAAAAAUUCACUUUAUGUUCCUUUCCUUACAUCUUAAGAAAAAGAGGCUUUCCUGUUUGUUUGAGAGUGAAAAUGUUUUAAGAUUUUCUGACCAGGCUGACUGAGCCCUUUGUCCUUUCUGAUUGCCUCAAACCAACUCUGAAUCCUCUUUGACACAUGCAGGAUGGAAGUGUGUCCCCUCUCCCCACCCACUCUAUUCUUGUGAUGCAGUGUCUUUAUUAAUAGGGAAAAACUCUGGAAAUGGGAAAUUGAGUCAUGGCUCAGAUUACUUCAGAAAUAUGGCUAGUGCACCUCCAGUAUUUGGUUAAUGUGACAAUCGUCAAGAUGGUCAGGAUAAACUAAAUCACGUGAUAAGACUCAGAACUCUGUGGGGUUUAAUUAAUUGAUAGCUACAAAAAUAAUUUGGGGACAAAAAGGCCAUACAAUGCAAAAGUAUUAGUAUAGUGAUGACCACAUACUAUAAAUGUUUUCAUAGUCAUCUUUCCUUCUUGUCAAUGUUCUUAUCCCUCUUAUCUACUAAGCUCAUGUCAGACUUUGCUUGAAUCUCUAGUUGUCCAGAAUGGGGUGUCCUUUGCUUUUGGAAACUGUGAAGCAGCUGGGCAGAGACUGUGGAAAGGGUCAGCUAGAACCGAGGGUGAGGAUAAGGAGGGUGGCAAGCUGUCAUUCAAGAUAAGAUGCUGGCAGUCUUACCGACUGGAACCCUAUUAGAGUGGGAGAUAAAAAUUUGAAAUAAUUCACAUAUAUAUGUGUCUGUGCACAAGUCACAUUCACACACAACCAGUGAGCAAAGCAAAGUAUUCCUGAAGAAAACAAGGAAUAGAAAUAGAACAUUCUGGAGGUCAACAGAGACACACAAAUUGUUCGCUCGUUGACUCACUCAUGCCUUCUUUUCUUUCAAUAUUUAUGUAACCCCUACUCAGUGGUCUGCAGUAAAGAAGACAGUACGGGAAUAAAACGAUGGAAUAUCUUUACGAAACUAGAAUUAAUCUGGGCAACAUUUCCAAAUGUAUAUGAUUAAAUCGUAAUUAAAAAGCCAAUGGUUUAAUGUCUUUCACAUGCUGUAGCAUGUUUGGAAUUAACACUACUGUGUCCCUGGAAAAGGCCCACUUAUUACUGAAACAGUUUUGCUUUGGGAAUUAGCUUGCCUAUAAUACAAAUAAGGCAAACACGUGGAGAAAGACAAUGGGUGAUGGUUCCUCCCAGGACAUCUAGUAAAAUACCCAGAAUUGAUUCUCCCGGGAUCAAUCACUAGAGACCUGGUGUCAGGCAAGGCAUAACUAGUAACUUGCCUAUUAACUUCCUCCUAGUGGCCUGAGAAAUGCAACAAACUAGUUUGUGUUUCAUAUGUAAAAUAAAUGAUUGAGGAUAGUGAAAGGGAAAUACAGCACUAAAUGGACUGCGCUGGCUCGCGGGAAAUGAACUUCUCCAUCCCUGUUUACCAGCUGCAUUGGUUUGCUUCUGCGAACUUGCGGCAGCUCUAUGUGGAUUGUUUAAAAGGUUAGCUGCCAUGACCCUGAUAUGACAAAAGGAUACACGAGGAUGUGGAUGUCAGCAGUGCAUGAGUGCACAUAACAGGAAAAUGUUUGAGCUUUAAAGGUGGAAACGCCAAGACCGUGUAUUUGAGUAAAAUGCUUCCACUAGUUCGAUGGAGAGAGUUUGAUGGGUCGUUUUCCCAGACUAAUGAAAGGAAGGAUGUUUUCUUUAUGUGGAUGGGAUGGUUACAAAUGAAUAUAAUGGUUCCCCCAAAUGAGCAUCAUUUUGAACAUCAUGUAUUCCAUUCACACCAGGGGCACUGAUUUAUAAUUACCCUAAUGGAGCCCAGAAUUGGGACAAAUGGAUAUUCACGCUGCAGUUUCUUCUUAGGCACUCAGUAUAUUGGGCACAUACCACCACAACUACAGGGUGCAAGUGAGGUUUGUUUACUUCAACUUGCUUGCAAUGGAUGUGCAUUUCUAGGUCACUGAUUCCAGCACAGCAGUGUUCAUGGCAAACAGUGUAUAAAGAGGGAUUUAUAUGCAGCAUGGCUGACAUAACUGGAUGGACUCUGGCUUGGUCUGCUUGGGUGGCUAACUCUAAAUGAAGCCCGGGCAUCUGCAGGUAGUGUCCUAGCUGAUGAAAAAUGCACUUGAGUUUGGGCUUACUGAUAUCCAAGCACAUGAAACAUAUACUGAGCUGGGAACAUGGAAGAGAAUCUAUUAUGAGUAGCAAGAGAAGGGGUGACUAAAAUGUCUCCGUUAGUCCCAAAUUCUGUUUCCUGUUUUAUUGAGAGGGAGUCCAUUGGCAAAGGAGAUGAGAUUUCAGAUUGAGACCUUCCAAGUAAUGUUAAGUACCUGUCUAUCAGAGCGUAUCAUCCGGGAUGCUGGUAGCUGUUGUACUAGGUUCUGGGAGCGUGUACUCACUUAUCUUUCUAAGUUGGUUACAUUCAGCCAUGAUGGUAUUCAGGCUGUUGACACAUGAUUUGUAAGAGGAUUUAGUUUUCCUUAAACUGCAAUAUGAAUUCUGAAAUAGAAAUCUAAUCUUAAAACUAGUACAGGAGAAUUUGCAAAAACAUCUUAAAACAUGAGCGCAGGGAAUCUUAAAAUAGUAGGAAGAAUAAUUUUCCUGGUGUCAGGAGAACACACGGUAGAAAGAGCAGGGUCAUUAGUAGCUGAUUUGUUCAGCCAAAUGCAGGCCCUGUGACAUAUUUAAGGUGAUGCAAAGAGUGAUAUUUGCUUAAGGGUGCAAAUGUCUAUCUCUGUAUCGAAUUCUGAAGCCAGUGCUGGAAUAUAAAAAUAGAUAUCUUAUUCUUUAGGAAGGAAAAUUAGGUAUUUUUAGAUAUUAUUGAUUCCAGCCUCCAUAUUGAGUUUAUAAAAAAAGCAAAGACCAAAGGGAUUGCUGCCUGUUGUUGCAGGGUCACGCAGGGCAAGUCGACAGCAUUGCAACUGGAGGGAUGGGAUUCCCAUUUAUUAAAAUGAGAAGCUUGUUGGAAAAUCAGGUUUGGAAGAUUCGAGGUUUGUUUGGGAGGGAUAUGCAUUCCAGUUUGGACACAGAAAGUCUCAGAUGGGUAUCUGCAAUCCUAGCAGACAUGUCAAGUAGACAGCUGGAAUUUGGGGCAGAGGUUAGGAGUUGUCAGUAUUCACGUGGUCCUGGAAAGUCAUGAGAGCUCCAAGGAGUGAGUGUACAUAUAAAUAUAGAAGACGUCCUUGGACAAAGUCUAGUGGCCCUCCGGUGUUCAGAGGUCGGGGGGAUGGGGAAGCACCAUAAAGGAAAUUUAAACGAGUGAUCAAUGAGCAAGAAGGAAACACAGAAAGUGGGAUGACACGGGAGCCAAAUGAAGGAAGUAUUUUGAGGGAAUGAUCCACCAUGGGAAAUGUGGCUGCUCCAUCAAUGUGGGACAAAAUGCAUUUAGUUAGACAGGACUGAGGAGAAACCCUGUAAUCCUUCACCUGCUGGGGAUGAGGUGCUGUUGUCUCUUCUGACUUUGCAAAUCCCAGAAUUUUUAGACUCUCUCUAUUCCAUUUCAUUCCUGCUUACAAAUGGAAAUUCUUUUCUCAGCUAAUCUCUCUUGAAACACUGUGGUAAAUGCAUCCAAUAGUAACCAACUCAUGCUAUUAACAUUCUGUUUUCCGAUUUCUUCCCAUAGAACUGCCAUCUGAUAAGGCACAUGGUAUAGAACUACCUAUGAUUGUUUACCAAAUACUGUACUAUUUCAUAACACAGCUUGCCAUUUUUCCAGCUUGUAAUAUAAUUUUCCUUACUGCUCCUUCUCUAAGCUAGUGCUACAGUAAGAUUUUAUAUUUUAGGGUUUUUAGCAGGGACCCCUUGAGAACCAGUCAAAUGCUAGGCAAUCCUCAAAUUCCAAUGGCCUAAAAGAGCAAGAAUUUAUUUUUCACUCGUGUAAAGCCUGCUGCAUGUUUGGGAAUUCACUCCAGGAUGACUGUUGUCCAUGUCACGGCUCAGCUUGGCAUCUUCACAGACCCCCAGGGCAGUGAGGGCUGUAUCGGAAAGAUGAAAACCAGCAGGUAAGUUCUCCCACUUAGAAAGUUACACACAGCGCCCCCAAAGCAAAACCAGAUGGCCGGUUCUGGUUUUUAAGGCUUAAAAAAGAGGACUAAGGUAUAGUUGUAAAGUUUAUCUCAGUACGUAAAUCAGUGUAAAGCCAUAGGAUUUAUUUUUUAUCUUCUUGCAUAAUAUCAAAAUGAUUUUUCUGUAGAGACUGUUUUACUUCGUUUCUGGGCCUGAGACUCCAAAGACAGACUAGCUAGUGUGACAGGAGCAGGCAAGAUUUCCAGGAAAAUGUCAAUAAUCCUCUUAGAGGGAAGAAUGGACCAGGUUUUUAUGUUUUGAACUCUGUCCUAAAGUAAUUCAUGCUAGUUGUUAGCAGGAGCUAAUAGUAAAACCACAUAAGUCUCACCUAAACCCCUGGUCUGUUACUGAUGCAUUGUUUUUUUUCCAAGUCUCACCUUUAUUGUCCUACUUUGCUAUUCACAACCUUGCACUGAAACAGCCCCUUGUUUUAGCUGACAAAUACCUCACCUCUUUUAUCUUCUCAAUAUUGCUUUCUUCCUUGCUGUCGUUACUCCAACGAAGACUAACUUUUGUUUUUAUAAGGACUUGAGGCAGACACCUUAAAGCAACCAUAUUACUCUUUUUUAAAAGUUUAUUUAUUUUGAGAGAGAUAAAGGGAAAGAGAGACAGAGUGAAAGGUGGAGGAGGGGUAGAGAGAGAGAGGGGGACAGAGGGUCUGAAGCAGGCUCCAUGCUGACAGCAGAGAGCUGGACGUGGGGCUUGAACUCAGAACCAUGAGAUCAUGACCUGAGCUGAAGUCUGAAACUAAACUGCCUGAGCCACCCAGGCGCCCCCACAUCACUCUUGAUGUGAACAUAUUUAAACAUAGUUGAUCUAGCAUUGCCUGAGAAUGAGUUAUUUUGCCAUUAGUGAGAUAGUUAAAUCCAAGUGUUGGUCAAGUGAACUCGCCCUAAUCUGCCAGGAAAAGUGUGACCAACCCCGUUAAAAAUGUCUGUAUUCCAUUUAAUUUUAUUCCUACUUGAAUAUUUGUAGUAGAUGCAGAAAUAUGAAGUGAAAGAGACUUUGUCUUGGACAGGUCUACCGUUCCACAAAACUAACAAAUUUCUCUUAUGUUCUCAUGUUACUUGUGGAUAGCGAUAUGUAGGUCACAAAUUGUUUCAGGUUUGCGCUCAUUUGGGUGUCAUACAGUAAAUAGGGAAUGUGUACGUUAUUCCUACUCUACCGACAAGUAAAUAUAGACUUAAAAAAAAAACAUCCAGACUCGCUAACCUUCACACAGUUAGCUAUUGACAAAGCUAGAAUUAAAACCUGUGUUAUCUGCUUUUCCUUUUGUGCUAUUUCCACAAGCAAUUUCCUACAUAAUUCAAAGUGAAGAGUAUUAUUUUUUUAUCAUGACCUGAAAUUUAUUUUAUCUCAUUAAAUAAAUAGUUGUACUGAGCACAGCACUUGAGGCUGUUCAAGUGGUGCCCUUGGUUACCUCUGUGUCUGGAGCUGUUUGAGGUUCCUUUUGUGUACCUGCCCGUGGGGCAUCUGACAGUGAUUCAUUUAUGGAUUCUUCAAAUAUACUCCCAACAUUAAAGAGGAGGGAUUCUUUUCAUAAGUAACUCUUUAUGAAUUGGUAAAUUUUUAAUUGUUCUCAAUUGGUGGCAAAUACGUUAGUUAGCACCUUUAAUAGAGUUCUUGCUGUUUUGGGAUCUUACCAGGUAGCAAAUCGACUUGUUACAGAGUUCAGGCCCACACUUCUCUCUUAUCCUUUCUUUUUGCUGAUCAUACAUGGAGCUUUGGAAUGAACAGUUGGAAGGUGCUGGACAAAAACACUUCACUUAUCCAUGCUAGAAGGAUUGAACCAUUAAUACUGGGGGAGGGGGGGCAUUUAUUGAAUCAUAAUAAAGGUAGGAGCCAGAUGUCUAAGAGGGACAAUCCUUGAAAUCUGGGUUAAUUUUAUUUUUUAACAUUUCUACCUGGUAAUGCCAUGCUCUUUAACAAUUUGCUUUACCUCUCUGUGCGUAUUCUUCUUUAUUAGAUACGUGGAGGGAAUUACUACACAAUAUUUAAUAAUGCAUAAAUAAUAUGUUCAACUUUAUUUUCAUUUCUGUGGAAUAGGCGCCCCAAUCUUAAGAUAAUUCUAUGAUUAAUAUCUUCUCUAAGACAAUAUCAAAAAGAACCUUUUAGGUGAUCCCAUGAGUGGCCAUUCUCUAUGGUAUAAGAACAAAAUCAAACACUGCUGGUAUAAAUUCUCUGGAAUAGGAAUAUGCUGAAAUAAUAAAAUUUUCUGAAAAACCAUCAAUCAGGAUUCAAGGCUAAAUAUGCCACUUAUUAGAAAAUUGGAUUCCCAAGGUUAAAUAAAACCAAGGCUUAAUUUUAAACUUACUUAAAUAAUAUGUACAAAAUAUAUUAGAGCAGAAUUAAAAGAGGUUGACAUGACUUUCACUUCCAGGAGUGAUAUAAUAGGGCACAGCAGGCAAGUAUGCCUAUUGCAAAAAAAAAAACAAA